GCCGCGGUGGUGGAAUGGUAGACACUAGGGACUUAAAAUCCCUUGACCGCAAGGUCGUGUGGGUUCGACUCCCACCCGCGGUACCA
rnacentral:tRNA from 1 species